CACCCCUACGGGACGCAGCAGGGAAUAUUGCUCAAUGGGGGAAACCCUGAAGCAGCAACGCCGCGUGGAGGAUGAAGGUUUUCGGAUUGUAAACUCCUUUUGUUAGAGAAGAUAAUGACGGUAUCUAACGAAUAAGCACCGGCUAACUCCGUGCCAGCAGCCGCGGUAAUACGGAGGGUGCAAGCGUUACUCGGAAUCACUGGGCGUAAAGAGCGCGUAGGCGGGAUAGCAAGUCAGAUGUGAAAUCCUAUGGCUUAACCAUAGAACUGCAUUUGAAACUGUUAUUCUAGAGUAUGGGAGAGGUA
rnacentral:rRNA from 1 species